GACGGAGGAUGCAAGUGUUAUCCGGAAUCACUGGGCGUAAAGCGUCUGUAGGUGGUCAAAUAAGUCAACUGUUAAAUCUUGAGGCUCAACCUCAAAGUCGCAGUCGAAACUAUUAGACUAGAGUAUAGUAGGGGUAAAGGGAAUUUCCAGUGGAGCGGUGAAAUGCGUAGAGAUUGGAAAGAACACCGAUGGCGAAGGCACUUUACUGGGCUAUUACUAACACUCAGAGACGAAAGCUAGGGUAGCAAAUGGG
rnacentral:rRNA from 1 species